UAAAGAUUACGUUGGGGACGACAUAACUGACACCAUUUUGAACGAAUCUCAGAGUGAUGUUUAUAUUGGGUUACAUACCCCAUAUAUAUUUAUUUCCAAUCGGAAACGCGAAGGCGGGACUGAAGGGAAGAAAGUGUCGCGUUGCGUGCACCCAAGUUAGGUUGAUUGUAGUGUGAGAGGCCGUCGUCUACUGGUGUAAUUCGGCGACAGGGAGGAAAAUACUGUUUAAAAUCGAUUUUUACAUCUUCAAGGGAAAUAUUGACUUUGUCGUGAAGUGUUUGGCCGGUAAUUUUGCACACAAACUGUCGUUUACAAACAGGCAUUGUAGCAUCGGGAGUAUCUGCGGAAUCCGUGUAGGGCUACCACAGAAUCCUGGGACAUAAAAGAACAUCGUACUAUGCAACAGUGAGCAGCACCUGACCCUUUCAAGCCUUUAUUCCACUGGUUCCAGGUGACCCUGUGGCCCCCUUCCCCCCC